rnacentral:rRNA from 1 species
GUCGAGCGAUCCCUUCGGGGAGAGCGGCAGACGGGUGAGUAACGCGUGGGAACGUACCUUUCGCUACGGAAUAGCUCUGGGAAACUGGUGGUAAUACCGUAUACGCCCUUCGGGGGAAAGAUUUAUCGGCGAAAGAUCGGCCCGCGUUAGAUUAGGUAGUUGGUGGGGUAAUGGCCUACCAAGCCUACGAUCUAUAGCUGGUCUGAGAGGAUGAUCAGCCACACUGGGACUGAGACACGGCCCAGACUCCUACGGGAGGCAGCAGUGGGGAAUCUUGCACAAUGGGCGAAAGCCUGAUGCAGCCAUGCCGCGUGAAUGAUGAAGGCCUUAGGGUUGUAAAAUUCUUUCGCCAGGGAUGAUAAUGACAGUACCUGGUAAAGAAGCCCCGGCUAACUUCGUGCCAGCAGCCGCGGUAAUACGAAGGGGGCUAGCGUUGUUCGGAAUUACUGGGCGUAAAGCGCACGUAGGCGGACUUUUAAGUCAGGUGUGAAAUCCCGGGGCUCAACCUCGGAACUGCAUUUGAAACUGGAAGUCUGGAGUUCAGGAGAGGUUAGCGGAAUACCGAGUGUAGAGGUGAAAUUCGUAGAUAUUCGGUGGAACACCAGUGGCGAAGGCGGCU